UCCAAUCACCUCCCACCAGGCCCCACCCCAAAUACUGAGAAUUAUAUUUUGACAUGAGAUUUGGGUGGGGACACAGCUCCAAACCAUAUCAGACCUAAGGUCCUGACGCACCUCUGGUUCUCACACAGCAUCCCAGUCUCCACCAGAGCAAUGGGCAUCUUGAAGACAUUCAGUGACUAUUUGUUGAAUGAUAGAAGGAAAUGAAUACUUUCCCAAGCUUAAUUGUCCAGAUGAAAGUGUUCUUUUCCAUCAGAUAUUGUAGAUGUGGAAGGAAGGAUCAGAAUGGACUAUGAUGAAUUAUGCAAGCCAGUGCGUCAUUCACCCAGUAAUAGUGUCCAAGAACACUAAGCAUCCAAACACGACUUGAGGCACCCUCGUGGAGCCUGUGGGUUCUUCUGAUGCAAAACGCGGUCUUUUCUUUCUGCUUUUAGGGGAAAAUGCUUCAUGAUUCCAAGAACUUUCAAUUGUAUAUUUGAUAAAGUCUUCAUCCUAGUUAAGUACUAAUAUUUAGGAUUCAUAAUAUUUGCCAUUUAUAGUUGCAAUGACUGCUUUAGCAGGAUUUACUGAAAUGUCUUGUUAAGUACUUUUCUAAGAAAUCUGGCUGCUAUGCAACUCUUGGAAAUAUUGUCAAACUCACACUGUGCAUCUACACAGACAGUUGGUAUCCCCCAACUGUGUUUACAAAGUAGGCUUUCUAAAAAUCAGUUUAUUAUCACUGUUGUCAUAAGGUGGUCAAGGAAUUUUCAGUUGUUGUUACUCUUGCUUUUUAAACAUUUUGAUUCACAAUUAAAUGAGUGUUUUGACUUCUAACAUAACAUAUAUGUCGCUGUUUGCAUUACACACAGUCCUGCACUAGUCAAUUGCCAAAGCAGAAGCAAAAUCAUCCAAAUAUCCUUUGUAUUUAUUUAUCAAGUGAGAAUUCACUAUUGUCACUAAUUUAUGUUCCAUUUUUAGAAUGGAUAAGCUGGGGUUGGUGGUCCUUAGUGUUUUCUAUCCUGCUUUCAAUGCAAAUCAUCUAAAGAAAUAACGCUUGAAAACCACAACUCCUGCUUAUCUUUGAGAGGUAUUGCUUUCAGAAUUAUUUAAGGUCUGGCCACCGAGUCAUCACUAAAUCAUCAUAACAGAUAAACUAAUCACAUAGACAACAUCUGCAGAAUUCAAUAAGUAUGUUGGUGCCUACAUUGUCUGCUGCUGUGCAAAGAAGCAGCUAGGGAUGAGAUCUUGCUCUCUGGAGAAAAGAAAGUAAGAAGGAAAGAAAACAAAACACCAUUGAAAUGCUGGAUCUUACGUACCAAGGAAUGUUUGCUAUAGUUGAGUCUGGGGUGCUGGUGGGUUAUUAUGAAGCUUGGAGUUGGCCACAGAACAGCAUUCAAGAGAGAAGACCACAUAUGUGUGUGUCUGCAUUUGAAUGGGAACUAUUAAACUUGCCUGAAUCCAAAAGAGGCAAUAUUCUGGAACAUAAUUUAAAGCCAAUUAAUAACAGUAGCAGAAAACCACAAUUGUGACUAGAUGCUUGCUAAAAACCAGUUGUUCAGCAACCUUGGGCUGUAUAUGAAGAAAGAACACAUGACCAAUUAUUUCAAAAUUUCAAAACUGCUAGGGCUGGGAACAUGGGCUCAGUGGAACUCAGGAGUAGGAGCUGAAGCCAUGAGGAUAGACUGUCCCCGGCUUUGGUUCCCCUUGGCCCUGACCUUGGUGGUGUGGGCAUCCAGCACAACUGAGGCCUUCAUUCCAUUGUGAAGUACAAGCACCUAGCCAGGAACUGGAGAUUCUGAAGGGAGGUAACAGGGAAGUUGGGCAGUUUGAGGUUGACCAGCAGAAAAGCAACAAAGUCUGUGGGCUCCAGAGAGCUGCUGCACCACUUCCACCCUCCACCUCUUCUGGAAGAGUUGCUGUCACCCACAGGAAAGGCAGCACUGGGAAUUCCCUAGUUCAGCCAAGUGGACACAUUACGUAGGCCCACACCAAGGAAGGGAAGACUGGAAACCCUCUCCAUGUCUGCAUAUCGUGGGGCUGCAGGGCCCUUCCACCUGGGGACCCGGCCAUGCCUCAGUCAGUGGGUCUAGAUCUGUAAGCUGACCCAGACCCAGAAACGAUGCAACAAUGGGUGAGUUUUUGUGGGAGUGACAACCCCACUCUCCCAUCAUCCAUCUUUCCCAUCCGUUUUUUAGAGAUUCAGUGCCUGUGCCCACCACCCUGCCCCCUGCCCGCUGUCUCCAUCUCUCUGUGCAGGGCAAGGCAUCUGGGCUCCACUGUAACCCGCCCCUGCUCACCUGCCCAGCCUCCUGUGGCCAGGGUCCUGUCCUCCCCACUGCCACUAGCAAAUCUCAUCCCAUAACAGUCUCUGCUAUUGGCGGCCCUGCUUGACAGAGGAGAGCCGCUGCUGGAAAGCUUAGAGACGGAUGGAUGCCCAUUGCACCAGCACAUCUCCUGGCUGUGAAGUGGCAUCCCCUCCAUCCCUCCACACACACAUCAGUCAGUGGACCACGCAGCCACUUACACCAUGAUCACUGGAGCACACUCACAUCCCUCCACCUCUGACCACAGAAAUGGUGGUAUUUCAGUUUCACACAGCACAGAGCAUUGCCUUUUCUGAACCUUGAGCUGCCAUCCUAGGAGCAAAUCUGCCUCCUGGGUUCUUGCCAGAGGGUUAUGUUCUGUAUCUCACGACUGCAGGGACGAGCAUCUCUAAAUAAUCCUGAACCUCCCGACCUUUCGAUCAUGCGCUCCAAAAACCAGAGCCACUCACCUUCCCCAUCUCAAGUUGGAUAUUCUGGCUGCAUCAUGUGCCUUUGGGAUGCUCCUGCACCUCCUUUUCCUUCUUUAUCAGGCCCCCCAUAUUUCUGCUGGAUAUGUGACAUUAUCCUCAUCAGCCUAGUGGCCAAGAGAAGUGGAGGCUGGACCUGAGGAAGAUGCACGGCUCAUUGUAGCGAGAGGUGCCACGGUGUCUCCAGGCAAGAUACAAGCAUCGUUCCUUCUCAGGAAGGGCAUCUCCUUUCUCCAGGCUUCAGGGGUUCCUAAGAGUCAGGGGGGUUCACAAUUUGCAGGGGCAUCUCAGUCACUAUACAUGGGUAUAUUGGGCAUACAAACCUGCACAUACACACAAGUACACACAUAUAUGUACACACACACAUCCACACACGUAGACACAUAUGUGUGUAGACAUUUCUUAUUCUACAUAUUUGCAGUUAUUAAGUAAUCUACAUAAUGUAUGAUCUUAAGCAUAAACCUUAUAAAUUAUAGUUUAUUUGACUCUCUGGGCAGUUCGUCUUCUUAAUAGAGUAAAUUUACAUCAGAAAAGUAUUCUGAAUCAGAAAAGGUAAAAACUACUUUCUGGCUACGUUUCUGCCUUAGGAAUCAAGGCAGAAGGUGAAGGGGAAACAGGCACAGCUGUCACACAUCCUAAGUUUCCUACGGCCUCCCCAGUCAUGCCUCCUUUACAGCCUGUGGAACUGGGACUGGAGUUGGGAUGCACCCUGUACCCAGAAGAUGGAUCUCCUCUUUGCUGAGGGAAUGAAUCCCCACUGGUUCAUUGCAAGCUCAAAAUGCUCAAUAAUCACAGAGAAAUGCCAGCCACCUCACAGAGGGCUGGCCUGGAGAGGAAUGUCAGAGCCCAAGGCUGGCAGAAGAGUGUCCCGAGCAUGAGGGGAUGGGCAUCUGCAAAUGGAAAGUCAGAGCUCAGGCAGCGAAGUUAGAGAGAAUAGAACAUCACUUCUGAGAUACUCCUAUCAAGGAUGUACACCGUGAGUCCAGCUACAAGUAAAUACUAAAGAAACCCAUGUUGCGGGACCUUCUACAAAAUCACUCUUCUCUAACUUCAUGAAGGUCAAGGGAAAGCUGAGGAGCUACUCCAGACUACAGGAAACUAAAGAGACGCCACAGCUAAAUCAACCUUGUGACUCUGAACGGCAUCCUUUGCCGUCAUGAGACAGAGGAUCCAACCUGAACGUGGCCUGAGGCUCAAAAGGUGGUGAUGCACCCAUACUAAUUUCUUGAUUCUAACAGUUACAUGUGGGCCUGUUCUUGUUUUAAGGAAAUGCAAACUGAUGUAUCUGGGGAGGACAGGGUAUUGAUUGUGUUGCCAACUUACUCUCAAGUGAUUUGAGGAAAAGUUGUUCAGAUUAUAUGUAUAACUUUUCUAUAUAUUUAGCAUUGUUCUCAAAGUGCAAAAAUAAUUUAUAUUACUGAAAAAGAUGAGAACUACCAAAAAAAUCUUCCAGUCAUAAAAUUCUGUGAGUCAAUAGAUCCUCAGAAAAGAAAUUUCUAAAAGACACACUUCAGGAGAAAAUAAAAACUAUUUUCCAGGAAUGCUCUGAGUUGCAAGAAGGAAAUGUUAAAAAAAAAUCCACUGGUAAGAAUGUGACUAAAUCUAUACUCACACAGACUGUAUAAAACGGUACAGAAUGCAUUUCAUUUGGUGGUUAGAAUAAAAGAAAUUACAGCUAAACUUCUGGACAAAAUUAACAUAUUAAGUAGAAGGAGUGCAACUGGAUUUAAGCUGCCUAAAGCCCUUGUAAUGCACAAGAGAGGCUAGCCAUAUUAAAUUUACAUCUCGUUAAGUAUGUAUGUUAAAUUUUUUAUAACUAACAGAAGUAGGAAAACCACCAGUGGGUCUUUUCCAUUAACCUGGUGUUUAUUAAACUGCUGCUCAUAAAUGAAAUUCAAGAGUUCCAUGAAUAUCUGAGUAAUACAGAUGGAAUAUAUGUAUGAUUAUAUUUACAUUUUUAAGAGUGUCCAUUAAUCAUAAAAAUUUUGACGAUGUGAGUGACAGCUGCCAUAACUAUGAAUCAUUAAACUAGACUAAAUUCUAUAAGAAAAGGGUCAUUGUCAAUUUUAUUCUGCCUCUCAUACUGUUACCUAUUUUUGAGAGCCUGAUAGAACAAAUGCAUUCAAGGUAUUAGGCAUCUGUGAUAAUAUUUACACAUUUUUACUUGUUAAAUUUGUUAGCCCAUCUCUGAUGAUGAGGAAGUGACACGAGAGAUUUUCACACAGUAGGCAGAAUGAAGAACGUCCUUGUCACACAGCCCCUUGUCAGUCUGGGAGUAAGAUCAAAGUCUGUCGAGGCAAUACCUUUGCCUCUUUGGAACUUAUCCCACCACUUCGAUGGCUAACCUUGGACUCUUUCUACAGAAACUGUGUACCCCUGGCCUUUAGCUCCUUUCCUUAAGCCAUUUUCAUGGCAUCUUGUUUGGAUAUCUGUGGCUGAUUUUGUUCUAUCCUUGUUUCUUUCUUUCUGCCACCUUUUUCUUACUGUUUUCCAGGAAGCCAUGCUGUGUCUCCAUAACUUUGCCACCAGCAGCAUUGGAGCACUCGAGUUCUAACUGAGUUUCUGGGUCUGUCCCCAUCCAAGCACUCACAGGCACGGCCCAUUAGCUUGCUGAAAGUGCCUACUGUUUGGUCCUAGAUUAGCUUCAAUCGCCGUCUCUUACAUGAUAUAACAUGCAGAUUACAUUUGUUUUAUAAUGAAUAAAGGUCCCCUGUAAUCACUGUAUGAAAAAAAAAACAAAUAAUUUGUCCCAGAGUAUUGUCCCUUUUGUAAUUUGCCACUGAAAGGAAUAUUCAGAAACGUGAGGCAGCCUAGCAUUCAAGUGGGCUCAGUAUUUUGACAACCCAGUGAGGGAAAUGAAACACCGGCAGCUCUUAGUCAGCCCAUGACCCUUCAGCAGAAAAACACGAAAUAGUCAAGAAGCCCAUUCCUCUUUCCCGUUUCUUUCUUACUGUAUAAAUGUAAAGGAUGAAAUGACGGAUUCUGCCUUCUCUGAAGUGUGUCCUUGUAUCUCUUAAAACCGAAUAGUCUAGGAACCAUGAAUACAAAACAGUAAGAAUUGACCUAUGAUGCAUACUUCAGUUAUCAUGAGAUCUCAUCUGGCAUUAUUGUUGUUAGUAUUACGAAUUCAUCCUAUCCUUGUGUCCCCUUUUCUUUUA